rnacentral:rRNA from 1 species
UUCGCCCUUAAAGUUUGAUCCUGGCUCAGGACGAACGCUGGCGGCCCGCUUAACACAUGCAAGUCGAACGGAGUUAAUUUUGGUUUACUAAGAUUAACUUAAUGGCGGACGGGUGAGUAACACGUGAGCAACCUACCUUGUACAGAGGGAUAGCUUCUGGAAACGGAUGGUAAUACCUCAUGACAUAUUGAGAAGGCAUCUUCUUGAUAUCAAAGAUUUAUCACUAUGACAUGGGCUCGCGUCUGAUUAGAUAGUUGGUGAGGUAACGGCUCACCAAGUCGACGAUCAGUAACCGGACUGAGAGGUUGGACGGCCACAUUGGGACUGAUACACGGCCCAGACUCCUACGGGAGGCAGCAGUGGGGAAUAUUGCACAAUGGGGGAAACCCUGAUGCACCCAUGCCGCGUGGAGGAAGAAGGUUUUCGGAUUGUAAACUCCUGUCUUAAACGACAACAAUGACAGAACUUUAUGAGGAAGCUCCGGCUAACUACGUGCCAGCAGCCGCGGAAAUACGUAGGGAGCGAACGUUGUCCGAAAUUACUGUGGUGUAAAGGGAGCGUAAGCGGGAUCGCAAGCCAUACUCGAAUAACAUGGGCUUAACCCAGGGGCUGCCUUUAAAACUGUGGUUCCUGAAUGAAAUAAAAGGAAAACGGAAAUUCCUGGUGAAUCUGUGAAAAUAGCUAGAUAUCAACGAGGAACACCGGUGGGCGGAGGCGGCUUACUGGGCUUUUAUUGACGCUGAGGCUCGAAAGCGUGGGGAGCAAACAGGAUUAGAUACCCUGGUAGUCCACGCUGUAAACGAUGAUUACUAGGUGUGGGGGGAGUGACCCCUUCCGUGCCGCAGUUAACACAAUAAGUAUUCCGCCUGGGGAGUACGGCCGCAAGGCUGAAACUCAAAGGAAUUGACGGGGGCCCGCACAAGCGGUGGAGUAUGUGGUUUAAUUUGACGCAACGCGAAGAACCUUACCAGGGCUUGACAUUGAGUGAAAGGCAUAGAGAUAUGUCCCCCUCUUCGGAGGCACGAAAACAGGUGGUGCAUGGCUGUCGUCAGCUCGUGUCGUGAGAUGUUGGGUUAAGUCCCGCAACGAGCGCAACCCCCAUUCUCUGUUGCCAGCAUUUAAGGUGGGAACUCAGGGAAGACUGCCGCGGACAACGCGGAGGAAGGCGGGGAGGACGUCAAGUCAUCAUGCCCCUUAUGUCCUGGGCUACACACGUACUACAAUGGGAUGGACAGAGAGCAGCGAACCCGCGAGGGCAAGCGAACCCCAGAAACCAUCCCCCAGUUCGGAUUGGAGGCUGCAACCCGCCUCCAUGAAGUCGGAAUCGCUAGUAAUCGCAGGUCAGCAUACUGCGGUGAAUACGAACCCGGGCCUUGUACUCACCGCCCGUCA